rnacentral:rRNA from 1 species
GACGAACCAUGCAAACGUUAUUCGGAAUCACUGGGCUUAAAGCGUGCGUAGGCGGCUCAGAAAGUUGGGUGUGAAAUCCCUCGGCCUAACCGAGGAAUUGCGCCCAAAACUACUGGGCUCGAGGGAGUUAGAGGUGAGCGGAACUCACGGUGGAGCGGUGAAAUGCGUUGAUAUCGUGAGGAACACCGGAGGCGAAAGCGACUCACUGGGGCUUUUCUGACGCUGAGGCACGAAAGCUAGGGGAGCAAACGGG